AGAGUUUGAUCCUGGCUCAGGACGAACGCUGGCGGCGCGCCUAACACAUGCAAGUCGAACGAGCGAGAGAGAGCUUGCUUUCUCGAGCGAGUGGCGAACGGGUGAGUAACGCGUGAGGAACCUGCCUCAAAGAGGGGGACAACAGUUGGAAACGACUGCUAAUACCGCAUAAGCCCACGGCUCGGCAUCGAGCAGAGGGAAAAGGAGCAAUCCGCUUUGAGAUGGCCUCGCGUCCGAUUAGCUAGUUGGUGAGGUAACGGCCCACCAAGGCGACGAUCGGUAGCCGGACUGAGAGGUUGAACGGCCACAUUGGGACUGAGACACGGCCCAGACUCCUACGGGAGGCAGCAGUGGGGAAUAUUGCACAAUGGGGGAAACCCUGAUGCAGCGACGCCGCGUGGAGGAAGAAGGUCUUCGGAUUGUAAACUCCUGUUGUUGAGGAAGAUAAUGACGGUACUCAACAAGGAAGUGACGGCUAACUACGUGCCAGCAGCCGCGGUAAAACGUAGGUCACAAGCGUUGUCCGGAAUUACUGGGUGUAAAGGGAGCGCAGGCGGGAAGACAAGUUGGAAGUGAAAUCCAUGGGCUCAACCCAUGAACUGCUUUCAAAACUGUUUUUCUUGAGUAGUGCAGAGGUAGGCGGAAUUCCCGGUGUAGCGGUGGAAUGCGUAGAUAUCGGGAGGAACACCAGUGGCGAAGGCGGCCUACUGGGCACCAACUGACGCUGAGGCUCGAAAGUGUGGGUAGCAAACAGGAUUAGAUACCCUGGUAGUCCACACCGUAAACGAUGAUUACUAGGUGUUGGAGGAUUGACCCCUUCAGUGCCGCAGUUAACACAAUAAGUAAUCCACCUGGGGAGUACGACCGCAAGGUUGAAACUCAAAGGAAUUGACGGGGGCCCGCACAAGCAGUGGA
rnacentral:rRNA from 1 species